rnacentral:rRNA from 1 species
AGCGAACGCUGGCGGCGUGCCUAACACAUGCAAGUCGAACGUGAAAGGGAGCAAUUUCCAGUAAUGUGGCGUACGGGUGAGUAACACGUAGGUAAUCUACCCCAGAAUUUGGAGUAACCGGCCGAAAGGCUGGCCAAGACCGGAUAGAGCGACGGAAUCUGUAACUGGGUUUUUCGGGAAAAGGAGCCUGUAAAAAGGCCUUCGUUCUGGGAUGCGCCUGCGUCCCACCAGCUAGUUGGUGAGGUAAAAGCUUACCAAAGCAAUGACGGGUAGCUGGUCUUGGAGGACGAUUAGCCCACCUGGGACUUGAGCACGGGCCAGGAUCCUGCGGGGAGCCGCAAUGAGGAAUCCUGCGGCAUGGACGGAAGGCCGGCGGAGCAACGCCGGGUGGGUGAAGGAGGGCUUCGGGAUGUAAAGCUCUGUCGAGUGGGACGAAACUGCUUGGAGUUUACAGCUGCAGGAACUGACGGUACCAAUAAAGAAAGCACCGGCUAACUACGUG